AGUGAACGCUGGCGGUAGGCCUAACACAUGCAAGUCGAACGGCAGCACAGUAAGAGCUCGCCCUUACGGGUGGCGAGUGGCGGACGGGUAAGGCAUACAUCGGAAUCUACUUUUUCGUGGGGGAUAACGUAGGGACACUUACACUACUACAGAAUACGUCCAACGGGUGAAAGCAGUGGUUCUUCAGACCUUGCGUGACUGAUUGAGAUGAAGCCGGAUUAGCUAGUUGGCGGGGUAAAGGAACACCAAGGCAACGAUGCGUAGCUGAUCUGAGAGGAUGAUCAGCCACACUGGAACUGAGACACGGUCCAGACUCCUACGGGAGGCAGCAGUAGGGAAUAUUCGGCAAUGGGCGCAAGCCUGACCCAGCCACACCGCGUGAGUGAAGAAGGUCUUCGGAUCGUAAAACCCUGUUAUUAGGAAAGAAAAGCAGCAUAUGAAUACCCCCCUGUUCUGACGGUACCCAAAGAGUAAGCACCGGCUAACUUCGUG
rnacentral:rRNA from 1 species